CAUAUUAUUAUGAAAGAUAAACCUCAAUAUUUUAUUAUUUCUCGGCCCAAGUUUAUCUUCUACAGCAUUCUAUAGUUCGAGCCCCAUUUACAAUAUAACACAUUUUUAAUAUGGGCUUACAGAAUUAUUUUGUCUAUGUUAAUUUACAGCUAAAUAUAUGUAAAUUCUACAACUGCGGAGUCACUAACUGUUUGUUAUACAUAGCUUCUUAUACAUAUAAUUACAUAGCAAAACAAUUAUGGCACUGGGAAAACUUCUUAAUAAUCCUGCGGCGAAGAAAACAUAGCUUAACCCGAAUUAAAGAGAAACUACUUCCUGAAAAAUUUAAGCAAGACAUGUGAGUUUUCUAAGGAGUAAUAAUUAUUACACAACACAAGCAGUCACACAAUGUGUACACAUAUUAAUCUAGUCAUCCGACUAGUUAUAUGCUCACGCAGCCAGUCACANN
rnacentral:lncRNA from 1 species